rnacentral:rRNA from 1 species
AGUGAACGCUGGCGGUAGGCCUAACACAUGCCAGUCGAACGGCAGCACAGUAAGAGCUUGCUCUUACGGGUGGCGAGUGGCGGACGGGUGAGGAAUACAUCGGAAUCUACUUUUUCGUGGGGGAUAACGUAGGGAAACUUACGCUAAUACCGCAUACGACCUACGGGUGAAAGCAGGGGAUCUUCGGACCUUGCUCGAUUGAAUGAGCCGAUGUCGGAUUAGCUAGUUGGCGGGGUAAAGGCCCACCAAGGCGACGAUCCGUAGCUGGUCUGAGAGGAUGAUCAGCCACACUGGAACUGAGACACGGUCCAGACUCCUACGGGAGGCAGCAGUGGGGAAUAUUGGACAAUGGGCGCAAGCCUGAUCCAGCCAUACCGCGUGGGUGAAGAAGGCCUUCGGGUUGUAAAGCCCUUUUGUUGGGAAAGAAAAGCAGCAGGUUAAUACCCCGCUGUUCUGACGGUACCCAAAGAAUAAGCACCGGCUAACUUCGUG